rnacentral:other from 14 species
CAUGGGACGCUAGUUGUGAACAAGGUGUGAAGAGCCUAUUGAGCUACAUAAGAAUCCUCCGGCCCCUGAAUGCGGCUAAUCCCAACCUCGGAGCAGGUGGUCACAAACCAGUGAUUGGCCUGUCGUAACGCGCAAGUCCGUGGCGGAACCGACUACUUUGGGUGUCCGUGUUUCCUUUUAUUUUAUUGUGGCUGCUUAUGGUGACAAUCACAGAUUGUUAUCAUAAAGCGAAUUGGAUUGGCCAUCCGGUG